UGUCAGAGAUUCAGCUUCCACCCAUUUGAUGAAGUAAUCAAUGGCAACUACUAUAAAUUUUUUUUGAUCAUAUAUCGAAGGAAAAAGAUCUAGUAUGUCUAUUCUCCAUUGUGCGAAGGACUAUAAUGCAAUAAUUGGUAUCAACUGACUAGUCGGUUGGUGUUAUAUAUUUGCAUAUCUCUGAUAUAGUUCACACCUUCAG
rnacentral:lncRNA from 1 species